GGGCCCGCACAAGCGGUGGAGCAUGUGGUUUAAUUCGAUGAUACGCGAGGAACCUUACCAGGGCUUAAAUGUAGGUUGCAUAAGCUAGAGAUAGCUUUUUCUUCGGACUACUUACAAGGUGCUGCAUGGUUGUCGUCAGCUCGUGCCGUGAGGUGUCAGGUUAAGUCCUAUAACGAGCGCAACCCCUGUUGUUAGUUGCCAUCGAGUAAUGUCGGGAACUCUAACAAGACUGCCAGUGCAAACUGCGAGGAAGGUGGGGAUGACGUCAAAUCAUCACGGCCCUUAUGGGCUGGGCUACACACGUGCUACAAUGGCAGUGACAGAGGGACGCUACCAGGUGACUGGAUGCAAAUCUCAAAAAGCUGUCUCAGUUCGGAUUGUUGUCUGCAACUCGACAACAUG
rnacentral:rRNA from 1 species